AAAUAGAGUAAGCCAAGCAGGGAGUUCUAAAUAGCGUAAGCUGAGCAGGAAUACUACAUAACAUAAGCAGAGCGGGUAUUCCUAAAUAAAGUAAGGCAAGUUCCAAAUAGCGUAAGCUGAGCAGGUAUUCCUUAUUAGGGUAAGCUAAGCAGGGAUUCCUGAAUAGUGUUAACUGAGCAGGGAUUCCUGAAUAGUGUUGGCUGAGCAGGGAUUCCUAAAUGGUGUAAGCUGAGCAGGUAUUCCUUACUAGAGUAAGCUGAGUGGGGAUUCCUAAAUAGAGUAAACAGAGCAGGGAGUUUUAAAUAGCGUAAGCUUUGCGGGGAUUCCUAAAUAGAGUAAGCUGAGCAGGUAUUCCUAAAUAGAGUAAACUGAGCAGGUAUUCCUAAAUAGAGUAAGCUGAGCAGGGUUUCCUACAUGUAACUAGAUUAAGCUGAGCAGGGUGAUGUCUGUGCUGUAACAUAUGGACAUCCAGGGAAUGAUUCUGAAUCAACAGAAAUAUUUUUAACAUACAUCACAAGAUUCAAUAUGGUCAGAAAUAAAUUUAAUUCUAUUUUAAGGUGGCUCAUUACACCUAGGAAGAGUUUAUGUUUUUAAUUUUUUUUAAUGUGUUUCGCCACAUUCAACAAUUUUUCAGUUAAAUAGUGGCGCCCAGUAUUUUGUUGGUGGAAGAGAGAACCCAGAUACAAUGUACGGUCAGGGAAGAGACCACCGACUUUCUGAAAGUAAACUGGGAAACUUUCUCACUUACUGGCGCGAGCGGAAUUAAAAAAAAAGUUUAUUAAAUCAGCACAAAAUGGUUUAAUCAUGAUAGAGAUGAAGAUAUGUAGUCAGUGCAUUUGUCAAAAAGACCCAAAAAUAUGCAAUUUUGGAGAGAAAGAUAUGAUUUUCAAUUUUUUUUCAGUAAAUGACACAAAAGACACUGUAUGAUUUGAACUCGGGAUCUGCGAAUCUGCAACCUGAUACCUUAUCUACCGAGCUUCUUAUAUAUACAAACAUUUCAUUUAACACAAGUAAUUUCGCAUAACAUUUCAAUCACCGUCUUGCGAUAUAGUGUCAAAAGAUGUAUAGGCCUUGAUGUAGUGAACAAUUUAGUUGAAAUUAGAUCCUUUGAUCCGGCCACCUACUAUUGCUACACAAAGAUUGAGUGGAUCAAAUGGUCUAAUUUUGAUUUAGAUCGUGUAGGGAUAUGAAACAAAACCAUGCUGUGGUAGGAUUUGCUUUAAAUGUAAUGCUGUAAUAAAAGACAAAAUUUAACAAUUUACUAAUUGAACACAAUAAUUAUGAAUUGUUAAUGAUUCGUCUCACCUUAGGAACUUUGUGUGAUUCUUGUCAGUUUUAGCUCACCUGAACCGAAGGUUCAAGUGAGCUUUUCUGAUCGCUUUUUGUCCGUCGUCUGUCUGUCUGUUUGUCUGUCUGUUAAACUUUUCACAUUUUCGACUUCUUCUCCAGAACCACUGGGCCAAUUUCAACCAAACAUGGCCAAAAGUAUCCUUGGGUGAAGGGCUUUCAAGUUUGUUCAAAUGAAGGGCCAUGUCCCUUUCAAAGGGGGGAUAAUCACAAAAAUGCAAAAAUACGGUGGGUUCAUUUAAAAAUCUUCUUCUCAAGAACCACUGGGCCAGAAGAGCUGAAAUUUACCUGAAAGCUUCCUGACAUAUUGCACAUUCAAGUUUGUUCAAAUCAUGGGCCCCUGGGGUUGGAUGGGGCCACAAUAGGGGAUUAAAGUUUUACAUACAAAUAUAUAGGAAAAAUCUUUAAAAAUCUUCUCAAGAACCACUGAGCCAGAAAAGCUUAUAUUUACAUGAAAACCUUCUGACAUUGUGCAGAUUCAAGUUUGUUCAAAUCAUGGCCCCCAGGGGUAGGAUGGGGCCACAAGGGGGGAUCAAAGUUUUACAUACAAAUAUAUAGUUAAAAUCUUUUUCUCAAUAACCACAGAGUCAGAAAAGCUGAUAUUUACAAGAAAACUUUCUGACAUAGUGCUGAUUCAAGUUUGUUCAAAUCAUGGCCCCUGGGGGGGUAGGAUGGGGCCACAAGUGGGGGGGUCAAAUUUUUACAUACAAAUAUAGGAAAAAGCUUUAAAAAUCUUCUUCUCAAGAACCAUUGGGCCAAAGAAGUUGACAUUUACAUGAAAGCUUUCUGACAUAGUGUAGAUUCAAGUUUGCAAAGGGUAGUUUGGGCCAUAAUAGGGACUAAGGUUUUACAUGCAAAUAUAUAUGGAAAGUCUUUAGAUAUGGGCCAAGGUGACUCAGGUGAGUGAUGUGGCCCAUGGGCCUCUUGUUUAUUUUUCAGAGAACAUGAAAACUUUUGGAGCUCAGAUCCAGUGAUAACUAUUGGAAACCAGAAUAUCAUUUCUGUCCCUGAUGCCCUUAUCUACCAAGCCGCAAAGAAAUUGUCAUCAAAAGAGGAAAUAGUAGCAGUAGUGAAGGUGAGAAAGAAACACAGAAGCAGAAGACAGCGUAUCUGAAGGAACAGCGAGAAACGCUGAGAAGAUAACUCCUGAUCUAAAUCAUCUCCACUCGAGCGUGACAGGACAACAUGUUGGCGAGAUGUUAUCGAUACUUCCCAGAUCUGUUUUUGGUAUCAAUGACAUCUAUGGAAUCAUUGUCCAGGGAACAGAGGUGACGAUUGCUUUCCUGAGUGUUGGAGAAGAGUAUUAUAGAAAUCUGAAGGAAGGAUCCCUACAAAAGCUGUCAUCUGUAGUAAAGUACAGCAGGCCUUAUAACUACCUACACAAACGUGAAAGAGAAAAUUUUAUCAAGACAUUCGUGGACAUGGGAGUACUAUCGGAUAAUUUACAAUGAUUUGUUAUUCUUUAAAUUAAAUAAACAAGUUUAUUUUU